rnacentral:RNase_P_RNA from 1 species
GCGGAUGGCCGGAUGACCGCGGGCGGCUUCGGCCCUCCGAGGAAAGUCCGGGCUCCAUGCAGGCAUGGUGCCGGGUAACGCCCGGCGGGGGCGACCCCAGGGAAAGCGCCACAGAGAACAGACCGCCCCUGCUUGCGGGGGCAAGGGUGAAACGGUGGGGCAAGAGCCCACCGCGGGACGGGCAACCGGACCGGCAUGGCAAGCCCCACCAGGAGCAAUGCCGAAUAGGGAUCGCGCGCGGGGCCUGGCCCCGCAGGGCCGCCUGCGCCCCAGCAGAUCCGGGUUGGCAGCUAGAGCCCGUCGGCAACGGCGGGACCAGAGGAAUGGUCAUCCACGGGGCGCCCCCUCUACAAGGGCACCCCCGGACAGAACCCGGCUUACAGGCCAUCCGCGCAU